rnacentral:rRNA from 1 species
ACAAGCGGUGGAGCAUGUGGUUAAUUCGAUGAUACGCGAGGACCUUACCUGGGCUCGAACGUAAGAUGACUGUAGGUGAAAGCUUACAUCUCUUCGGAGCAUUUUACGAGGUGCUGCAUGGUUGUCGUCAGCUCGUGCCGUGAGAUGUUGGGUUAAGUCCCGCAACGAGCGCAACCCCUAUUGCUAGUUACCAUCAUUAAGUUGGGGACUCUAGCGAGACUGCCAGUGAUAAACUGGAGGAAGGUGGGGAUGACGUCAAAUCAUCAUGCCCCUUAUGACCUGGGCUACAAACGUGAUACAAUGGCUGGAACAAAGGGAUGCGAAGCAGUGAUGUGGAGCGAAACCCAUAAAAACAGUCUCAGUUCGGAUUGAAGUCUGCAACUCGACUUCAUGAAGUCGGAAUCGCUAGUAAUCGCGGAUCAGAACGCCGCGGUGAAUACGUUCUCGGGGUUU